UACGUAGGUGGCAAGCGUUGUCCGGAUUUAUUGGGUUUAAAGGGUGCGUAGGCGGCCUAUUAAGUCAGUGCUGAAAUAUACCGGCUUAACCGGUAGGGUGGCAUUGAUACUGAUGGGCUUGAGUACAGAUGAGGUAGGCGGAAUUGACGGUGUAGCGGUGAAAUGCUUAGAUAUCGUCAAGAACACCUAUAGCGAAGGCAGCUUACUAGGCUGUAACUGACGCUGAGGCACGAAAGUGUGGGGAUCAAACAGG
rnacentral:rRNA from 1 species